rnacentral:lncRNA from 1 species
UUAAAGCCAAACUACUCAAAACUAUACAAGCAUGAGAAACAAAGGAGGCAAAAAGGAAUUAAUUUAAGUUCUUAGUAUUUUAUUGUUAGAUUUUGUUGACACGAGUUUUUCGGCUUGUCACUGUGCCCAGGUACCCACAUCACAGACCUUCACCUUUGAUAACGUCAGCCACUUAAAAUAAGGGUGAGUUGGCCGACUUGGUAAGCAAGAGAGGGUAAGGAAGAAUAUAAUGAGAGAAGGAAACGAAGUAGAUGAAGAAGGAGAAGAAAAAGAAUAAGAAGACUCUUGACCUUGGAGGAAGAGAAGAGAGGAGUGAGCUAGGAGAGGAGGAAAAAGGGAAAAAAAACAUGAUGAAGAGAGAGAGAGAGAGAGAGAGAGAGAGAGAGAAAGUCGGGAGAGGGUGAAAGGAGAAAAACAAGAAGAGGAUGAGGUAGAGAAAAAAGGAGAGGGACAGAAAUAGGGUGUUCUUAUAAGAGGGGUAAAAAGGAGUGGAGCUAACACGUAGAACUACCCUAUCGGCUUAGAAGACCGACAUGAGGGAGCAAGAAAGAGAGAGUAUAAGUAAGCAGAUUGAGUAAGGUUGAGGAAACCAUGGCUAGUCAAUCAGAGAUAAAGUGCAACCGACUACUCCUAUCAAUUUUAGUAAUGAAAAGACAAGCAAAGUCUUCUAAUUUUAAUUUUUUAGUUAAAAAAUUUAUUUAUAGAAUAACUCUUAAAACUGAAAAUUUUAUUGAAAUCUUAAACAAAAUUAUUAGCAUAAUUUUAAUUUUACAAAGACGGGAAGAUAAAAUUUUUUUAAUAAAAAGUUAUUUUUAUUAACAUAUAUAAGACUACUUUAUAAAAUCUUUUUAUAUGUUUUAGUUAUAAUUUUAUAAGUUUAAAUUAUUAAUAAUUAUAUAUAUUAAUUGUCUAAAAUUUUAAACUCUUGAUCCUAAACUUGGUGUGUUUGGUUCAAAGUCGUAAUUGGUAUUGAAAUCGGAACGAGAAUAAGCUGAAAACGGAAUCGGAAUAUUCAUUACUUCAUUCUGUUUGGUUCGCCAUCUGAAUCGGAAUCGGAAUAAACCAUGUCCAUUGUCGUUAUUUGGUUUAGAUAGAUAUCAGAAACGUAAUCAAAUUAAUAUACCAAUUUUAUCUUUAUAAUAUAUUAGUUUAAAUUCAAACUGAAAAUUAAAUAUUAGAUAUUUACGUCAAAAUUUUAAAUAUAUAUUUUUUAAAAAUUUAAAAUAAAAAUUGAACUGAUAAUUCAAAUUAUAAAACUAAAUUUCGAGUUAUUCAAAUUCAAGCUUAAAAUUAUAAUUUAAAUUUCAAUUUGAAUCGAUAAAUUUAAUUUAAAGUUUAAAUAAAAUUUGUACGAACUUUAGAUUUUAAAUUAUAUUUAAAUUUAAAUUUAAAUAUAUAAAUUAGAUUCGAAAUACUUGAUUGAAUUUUAAUUUAUAAUUUAAUUUCAAAUUAAAAUUAAAAUUUAUAAAUAUAAUUUUUAAAAUAACAAGCUUAAAAAAGUUAAAUUUAAUCAGACAAAUUCAUUCCGUCUGAAUUUAAUUUUUAAUCCGGCUUCUUAGACUGGAUUGAAAAAGGAAUAAUUGGAGAAUUCUUAGUUAUUUGAAAAAAAGAAUCAAAAUAAAAAUUUCACGUAUCAAACAAAAUUAGUUAAUUUGGAUUCGGCAAAAAUUCAGUACGGAUAUAAUACGUAUAAAAUUCGUUUUCUAAUUUUUAAAUUCGUUGAAAAAUUCGGCUUAAAAAACGAAUUCGGUAUAAAAUAUGAAAUAUAAGAUAUAAAAUAUAGGGUUAUUUGCAUACACGUCCCUGCAAAUAUAGUGAAUUGCAGAAAUAUCCCUGCAAAACGGAAACUCCAUAAAUUAUUCCUGCAAAAGUCUAAAGUUAUGCAGAUAUGUCCCUGCCGUUAAGGACUGUUAGAAAAUUUUCGUUAACCAUGGUUAAAAUACUUAACCAUGGUUAAUUAUAAUGUGAAUUUACGGUUCUACCCUUCUUCUUUUUCCUCCUCUUCUUCUUCCUCCUCUUCUUCUUCCCUUUUCUUCGUCGCCGGCGAGGGCGGCAGCGGCAGCGACGGCGACGACGACGGCGGCGACUGCGAACUCUCUCUCUUUCUUUUCCUCUUUCUUCCUCUCCCUCUUCCCUUUUCUCCCUUCUUCUUCCUCUCCCUCUUCCUCUUCCCUCUUCUUCGUCGUCGGCGAGGGAGGAGAUACGGCGGCGGCGGGCAGCGACGAACCCUUUCCCUCUUCAUCUUUCUCUUCCCUCUUCCUCUCCCUCUUCCUCUCCUUCUUCCUCUUCCCUUUUUUUCUUCCUCUCAUUCUUUCUCUUCCCUCUUCUUCGUCGUCGGCGAGGGCGGCGGCCGCGGCGGCAGUGACAGCGGCGGCCGCGGCUCUUCUUCUUCCUCUCUCUCUUUCUUUUCCUCUUCCUCUUCCUCUUCCCUCUUCUUCGUCGUCGGCGAGGGAGGAGAUACGGCGGCGGCGGGCAGCGACGAACCCUUUCCCUCUUCAUCUUUCUCUUCCCUUUUCCUCUCCCUCUUCCUCUCCUUCUUCCUCUUCCCUUUUUUUCUUCCUCUCAUUCUUUCUCUUCCCUCUUCUUCGUCGCCGGCGAGCUCGACCCGCGCCGUCGCCGCCAUCCGCUCUGGCGGCCCGAAGAGGAAGAGGAAGAGAAAGAGAAGGGGAAGAUGAUACUUUUGGAGGGAUAUAUUUGUGAGGGCAAAAUGAUCAUUUCACAAGAAAAUUGUUAAAAAAUAAACAGUUUUCUAACAGAUGUAAAUCAGAGGGACAUAUCUGCAUAAAUUAGGACUUUUGCAGGGACAACUUAUGGAGUUUCCGUUUUGUAGGGAUAUUUCCGCAAUCCACUAUGUUUGCAGGGACGUGUAUGCAAAUAAUCCUAAAAUAUAAAAUAAUUUAUAUUUAAAAAUAAAAUUAUAAUUUUUUUAUUCAUAUUUUCAAUAAUUCGGUAAUAAUUCGUGAAUAAUUCAUGAAUUAUUCGCGAAUAAUUCGGCUGGCUCAAAAAUUCACGAAUAAUUUUCUUUUUUUCGAAAAAAUUCGUAAACGGACCGUUUAAUUCGGAUUUUCAAUAAUUCGUGAAUAAUUUACGAAUUUACUGACUAGGGUAUCAAAUACGUACCAGUAGACUCACUCAUUCUGAUUUCAAUUCUAAAGUAAAAAAGUGGGCGAAUCAAGCAUGUCCUAAAUCCUAUAUACCAGUUAUCCGCCGUGUUGGGCGGGCGACAACCGCCAAAGUGCAAGAGGGCAGCUGAGUUUGCUUAGAGCCCGUGCUCCCGACGCUGCCGCGUGGCUAUUUCUUACUCAACCCAAGCCGUAAUAUACCUUCCCUCUCAAACACUGCCCGGUUUUAACCCGUUUAAUCAAGAAAGCACCGGCCGGUCGACGGCCCAAUAAAUACCGCUCAAAGCAAUCACGCACUUCUCCUCUGGCCAUCUUAUCAUCGGGAGAUGCAAUUGGAGGUCGGCCCUAGCUCUCGCUCUCCCUCGCGGGAGGGGAGGGAGGAGGGGGCGAUCGGAGGGGACGAGACCCCGACCUCCUCCACCUCCUCCUCGGCGGCGGCGGCGGAGGACGCGAAUCUCGAGAGGCCGCUCCUCCUCAGGACUCCGCAGCGCGCCGCCUCCGACGGAGCGGCCGGCGCCGCCGCCGCGGCGGGGGGCGGCGGCGUGCGGAGGAGGGCGGUGAGCGAGCCAUGCUUGCCGGCGCGCGCCGAACGCAGCCGCUCCUUCGGCCGCGACGUCGGCCACGCCGCCGCCGAGACCUUCCUCCUCACCCGGCUCGCCCUCAUCCUCCUCCGCUAUCUAGGGUAACAGUCCUCCUCCUCCUCCUCCUCCUGCCCCUCUUGUAGACCCUAAUCACCAUGCCUUGUUCUGUUUCUUGUGCUUUUUUUUUUUUUCUGUGAUUUUAGGUUGGGUUAGGGUUAGUUGCAAAUCUACUCGGUGAAAUAUGGCCUUCAUCUCCGUUUCGUUUUGAGCCGGCACUAUUUAUUCCCUGAAUUUUGUUGCAUACAAUAAGAAUUACAUUCAUUCUGCUGGGUUAAAAUCAGGACAGUAAGCGAAUAAUUCUCACAUCCGAUAGCUAAGGGCUUGGUGUCAUAUAUAUAUAUAUAUAUAUAUACACACACACACACACACACACACGAGUGAAGGCCCGCGCUUUGCGGCGGGAAAUUUACGAAGCAAAAUCGAAAUAAAUAAUUAAAUAUUUAAAAUUUAAAUUUUUUAUUAUUCAAAAUUUACAUUUAAAUUUAGAAUAUAAAAUGUUGAAGCUUAAAAUUUAAAUUUUAAUAUAUCAAAUUGAAAUUUCAAUAUUUGGAAUUUAAUAUUUGAAUUUUUUAAAUUCAAUUUAUAAUUUAAUAUAUAUUUAAAAUAUUAAAAAUUUAAAAUUUAAAUUUAGAGCUUAAAAUUUAAAAAUUUUAUAUUUUAUCUUAAUUACACUAAAACUAAAUUUUAAAAGUUUACAAUUUUUAAUUUUAAGUUUCAGUUUCUAAAUUUUAAAUAUUAGAUUUUAUAUGGAAUUUUGCUGAAUUCUAAAUGUUUUUAUGUAAUUCUAACCUUUCAUAAUUCUAAAUUCUGAAACAUUGUUGAUGCAAUUCCGAAUUUUGAAUUCUAUUCUUUUAUAUGCAUCAAAUAUCCGGAAUUCAGUUAGGUAAUUCGAAAUUCCAUAAAAAAAAUAUAGGAAAAUAAAUAGACUUUGCUCAAACUCACUUAGCCAGUUUAUUUCUUAUUUUCGGGUUUCGGCCAAAUCUAAGGAUAACUGAGUUGUUGAGAGUAAGGAGUUAGGCAGGAUGGUCAUUGAUAGGCUACACCGCUACCAUAGUUCUGAAUUUGCUGGAGAGGUGUUUGUGUAUGAUGCGGAAAAAAGGCUGUUCACAUUAGGGUCUCUCCCACAAAACAAUUUCAAGAAUUCAAAAUUUAUAUUCAGAAUUCUAAACUUAGAAUCUACAAUUCAUAAUACAAAUUCAUAUAAAAUGUUGCUUAUGACAAUCAUAUUAAAACAAAAGGAACAAUUGCACAAAAGAGGGCCAGAUAAAGUCUCGAAAGUUAAGAUAUGUAGUAUCCGAAGCAAACCAUAUAAUUGAAGACAACAACAAAUUAUAUUAGAUGGUAAAACAAAUUAGGACUAUAAAAACUUUAUGAGAAGCUAUAUUUUUCUAUCUGAGAUACAUUGCAAAAGCAAAUAAGGCUGUUUUGACAGUAAGCUGAGCAAAAAUUAAUGCUUCCAUGGUUGCAUACUUUGUAAUAAAAGAUCGCCACCGCAAAGUUGGCCCAGGUGUGCUGCAAAUAACGAUGGAUUUUAUGAAGUGGACUGUCAUACAUGGCGAGGGUUACGUCAAAUAGGAAGACAAAAUUUUAGGGAAGAGACCUCACCAUCCUAAAUUGAGCACCAAAUUAUCAAAAAAAAAAAAAAACCUAAAAUAUCAACGCAAAUUAGGUUUAAUUUUAGUGAAAAUUGGGGAUUUGAGGGUCAUACGAUGGGAUUGAGCGAUUUGAAGGAGGAGGAUGCCGAUUGCUGGGGCGAAGAGGUCGAGCUUCGCGGCGGAGCUCGCUAUGGCGAUCCAUAGGAAUAACUGGGAGCAAGAAGUGGCAGGAAGAGCAUGUAAGAAAUCUCAAGUGUAACACACAUGCACUAAUUUUUAAGAAAUUAGAAUACGAAAAAGGCAAACCUUAGAAAGUAUCAAAACAUCAGUAAAUAGUAAGCAAGCUUUGUACUCUCUAUUAUUAUUCAAACUAUGAGCAAGUGGCGGAGAAAAAAAUUCUAACUCAUAAAAAAGGAAGGAAAAGAAGAUUGCAAAAUACUAUUGAUAAAAAGCUUUGAAAGCAAAGAUAGGUAGUGAACAGAAACAUAUGUUAAAUAAUAGAAAGUAGAUAGAUGCAGACAACAUUAGUAAGCAAAAAUUAUAAAAAAUACUUGUAUCAAAUAUAUAAGAAUAACAAUAACAAUAAUAAUAAUAAUAGCCUUUUCAUAGAAGGAGAACGUUAUUCACUGGUAAGCGACAGUAAGCACAAUCCCUACUAAAGCAAAACGUANAGAGAUGAAAAGUUCUAUACUAAAUCAGCAUGUGGAAACCAAACCAAACAGUAUACAUGAAUGAGUAUAGAAAUGAAUAAAUAUAGGCUGCUCAGACUCCCCUAGCCAUCGAACAUUAUUAAAUUAGCACCGAAGCCUUCUUGAUUAAUAGUUUUGACUGAGUUAGAGUCCAUAUGCAUGUCGAAACCAUCCUUAGUACAAAUGAGAGCAACUGGUUGCCCACGAAGUAGGCCAUCCAAAGUUUCCUCAUCACCAAUCAAAAAGGCUUGGAACCCUAUCAAUUAUCGCAAUUAUUUCAACCAUCUGAGAUUCAAGGGGAAGGUCAUCAUAGCAUGGGACAAAAGAAGGGAAAGCAAAGACCCGAAAAAUAGAAGGGUCAAAUUCUAGUGACACUCAAGUCAUCACAGCAUGGCUAAAAAAGAGGCAUAAGCAAAAUAUCCGAAAAGCGGAGCAAAGAACCCACAGCCAGCAGGAAAGCGCAAGAGACCUGCAGAAACAAAAAAAAAAAGGACUUGCGGAUUCCAGAGCAUACCACUGCUAGCUUCCAAAAAAAAGGGCUGAAGGAAAAGUAAGGAGAGAGUUUUACCUGGACAAAAUCUCAAAACAAUGAUGUAAAAUAACCAAGUAUUCAAAGGAUACUGGAGCAAAAAGAAAUCAAAUGAAUGUAAAAGCAAACAAAAACACAGAGUUUCAACAAAUCAAUGACAGAAAUGCGGCUUUGGAAAAUCCCAAAAGCGAAAAAAAACAUGGAACAAAUAUUUGCAAAGGACAGAAGAGCGAAAAGGAAUAAGGCAAAGGAAUAAAGCAAUGACAAACAUGCAGUUUCCAAAAUUCCAAAUAGUGAAAAAAGUUAACCGAAAUCUUGAAGUUCCUUAGUAAAUCAGGCUGUGGAAAUGACACCAAAGUGCAUACACCGGCUUGAAGUAGCUUCGUCACAUUCGGGAGCCAUUAAACUUUUGUUGACAUGUAAUCCUUCUGCGUUUGAUUAUAUGGGUUUCAUAUGCCUAGCCUAGAGGCUAUAUCAAGGAAGUGGAGAACAAAUAUUGUAAAUCUUAUAAAAUUCUUGAACCCAAGUUUUCUCUUUUGGAUAUUUUGAUAGAUAUUCACCAUUGUGCCUCAAAGUUAAGUUCUGAAUCAGGAAAACCCAAAGGAGAAAGUAUUACACAUGUAAUUCCUACUUUAGAUUUCUCACAAAGAUCUUUAAAUGGUCCUCCAUACAUGGCUGAAAUUUGUAGAAAGAAUUUAACUGUAAAAGGGAAGAAGAAGAUACAAACUGAAGUUCUCCAAGACAAUUGUAGUAGUUUGAUGUAGAUUCCACAGCCACAAAUCGAACCUGGUGAAAUGGGACCUCGGUAUGAUGUCAUUGAUAUUACAAAAGGCAAAGAAACAGUUAAAACAUCUAUCAAAAGCGAACUAAACACUAAGCAAUACCCGCCAUUGGGUGAAGAAAGAGUUCGAUAAAAAGCGGAUUAAACAUUGAGCAAUACCCACCAUUGUUCCACUACAUACCGCAAAAUCUUCCUCAUCAAAAUGCCUAUAUCAAUCUAUCAAUGGUUCAGAUUGGAGAUGAAGAUUGAUGUGCUAACUGCUUUGACAAUUGCUUAGAAUCCAAACUUCUUUGUGCAUGUGCAAAGGUAACCGACAGCGAGUUUGCAUAUACGAAAGAUGGAUUGCUCAAUAAGCAUUUUCUGGAUUCAUGCAUUCUAAUGCGCUGCAAAUAAAUAAAUAUACUCUGCUCAGACUCCCCUGGCUAUCGAACAAUAUUAUAUUAGUGCCGAAACCUUCGUGCUUAGUAGUGCUUAUUGAGCUGGAACCCAUAUGCACAACAAAAUUAUUCCGAGAACAAAUGAGAGCAACCGGUUGCCUACGAAGUAGGCCAUCCAAAAGUACCCUCACUACCAGGCAAAAAGGAUUGGGUCUCUGUCAAUUACCGCAACCAUUUGAUAUUUAAAGGGAAAGCCAUCAUAGAAGAGGUUUUAAUGGAGGAAUUGAAGCAUUAAAAAAAAAGGAACACCAACAUCUCUUUCAAUAGAGCAGGAUAAAACUUUACUUUAAGCAACUUGGCAAACUUUAAUGUAGAUUUUUGGCAUUCUAAUUUUGUCUGACUUUGUUUUGAUUUUAUCAUAAUGUGAUUCUGCCGUCGUCUAGGUUGUAGGAAGAUUCAAGAAUUGUGAUCCCUGACUACAGAUUUUAAAAAUUUAAAUUAAAAUAACUACCAGUAAGAUCUACAAUCCAAAAUAAAUUACAAAUAUAGCAUUGCUCACUGUAAAUGUCGGUAAAAAUGUAUGGAACUUACCUGAAACAUGAGCCAUUUCGCGAAGCGCCGUGCGAUCGCCUUGGCAUUUCGUCGAACAGGGUGCGAGCACUAGGGAGAGGGUAUCAUUUAAGUCACAGCAUACACAGAAUAAGUGGGAAAUGUGCAUCAUAUAUGCUUCUUUCUCUAAAAGCACACAUUCGGCAUUUCGUCGAACAGGGUGCGAGCGCUAGGGAGAGGUUAUCAUUUAAGUCACAGCAUACACAGAAUAAUUGGGAAAUGUGCAUCAUAUAUGCUUCUCUCUAAAAGCACACAUCUAAAUACCUGACUUGAAGUAACAAAUACUGAUUUGUAGAACUCCGCUUAUUAGAGCAAUGCGGAGAACUUUACCCCCUUUUUUGGCUAUCAACAACUUCACUGCUCAGUGCUUGGUUUUCGCUUUGUGUUUCGGUUUCUUCAUCAUCAUCACAGUGCAAUGCGCAUGGUGAGUGCGAUAGUCGCUCACGCUUCCCAAAACAGCCCUGUGAAGAAGACACAUGUAAUGCAGGUUAGUGCCGACACCGUUCUACUGUUGUAAUCUUCAUUGGGUGAUCAUCAUGAUCGUAUCUAUAAAAAACAUCUAUAAAGAAUGUUUGCCAAAUACCCUAAUGCAAAUCAGGCCAUAAUUCCGAAAUUCAAACUUUUAUAUGCACCAAGCACUUUACUGUGAUUCUGAAUCAUGCCUUCUAAUUUCUGAAUUUAGAAUUCAGCUAGAGAAUUUAGAAUUUAGCCAGAGAAUUGAGAAUUCAAGUAGGCAAUCCGGAAUUCCACAAAGAAUUGAAGGGAAACAAAUAUUCCUUGCUUAGAUUCUCCAUGAAAUCGAACAUCAUUAGUUUGGAACCGAAGUCUCAUUAGUUAGUAGUGCUAGUUGUAUAAGAAUUGCAAGCAUUUCAGUACAAAUAAGAGGGACUGGUUGCCUAUAGAAUAGGCCAUCCAAAGUACCCAAUAAGAAACGAAGGAGGGUUGCGCCCCUCUCAAUUCCCACAAUUAUUUGAUAUUCAAGGAGGAGAUCAUCAUAGCAUGGGAAUUCAGGAUUAAGCUUUGCAAUUUGGAAUUCUAUGAAGAAUAUAAGGAAAAUAAAUAUCCUUUGUCCAGAGUUCGUUUUCUUAAUUCAGAACCCAGAUUUCAGAACUUGGAAAGCAAACUCAUAUGUAUUGUUUCAUAUAAAAAGGAAGCUGCUGCAAAAUUAAGAAACCUUUUUCUUUACCUACUCUUACUCUGAUAGUGCAAUUCAGAUUCUACAAACCUGAAUUAGGAACACAGGAUCCUGCUAGGCAAUUGGGAAUUCAGAUGGGCAAUACAGAGAAGGCAGUUCUAUGGAAUUUCCAGGCAGCAGAAUCCAACAAGAUAAUUUAGAAUUCAGCUAGCCAACUUAGAUUCCAAAUACAUGCAGCAUAUAGUAAGGGUGAAAGAUCGGUAGUUCGCAUGUUACAAAAUCUCAGCAAGAUAAUUUAGAAUUCAGCUAGACCACUUAGAUUCCAAAUAAAUGCAGCAUACAGUCAGGGUGAAAGAUCGGCACUUCGCAUGUUAUAAAAUCUCGAGUCAGAAUUAAACUGCAAUGCUUACAGCCAAAAGCAAAGCACGUAAAUUCUCAGACGAAAAUGGGACAAAAAUGAUUGACUCGUUAAAUUCGAACCUUGCCAACACGAAGCAAAUCGAUGCGUAUGGAAAGCAUGCAAGACUUGACAGAGGAGGUAUCUAUUUACUAUGCAAUUUUACAAAACUGAGGUAAUCGAUACCAAUGCAAUUAAUCAAAAUCCCACACAAAAAUCUUAAGAGGGGAAAAAAGAUAGAAAACAAAUCCAGUGAGGAUAAAUUUUUUUUACUAAACAGCUGAAGAAGUCACACAAAACGUUAAAAAAGCUCAACUUGAUAAUCGGAGAUAAAAUUGUCCAUUAAGGAUAUAGGAAGCUUAACGAAACAGGAAGGAAAUUUGCAUAAGUGCUAAAUACGGAUUGUGCUAAAUACGGAUUGAGAAUAUGCAUAAGCGUGCUCAACAGGAAGGAAACCUGAAGCUUUUGCAACUAACAAAUAAUCACAAAUAGUGCUAAAUACGGAUUGUGAAUUGUACAUUUUUAAUUUUUCACGUUUUAAGCCUCGAAUUGUUAAACCUGAAAGGUUGCUGAUGUAAACCACAAUUCAGAAUUCGAAAUUCAGAAUUCGAAUUUCUGAUCCACAAUUUUUCAUGUGUAAUUCUAACAUGUGAGAAGCUAGAGAAAUGAAUUCUAGAAUACUGCUGUCAGAAUUCAGUAUUCUGAAUUCGUACCUUGUGUAUGGGGCAAAAAUCUUUGUGCGAUUCAAACAACGUAUCUGAACUCGCUACUGUUAUACACAGCAAACAGUUUGAUGCAAUUCUAAAUUCGAAAACCUCAAUAUUGAAUGGAGCAUUUAGUUAGAUAAGGGAGAAUUCAGGUAGACAAUUUAGAAUUCAAGCAGACAAUAAAGAAUUCCAUCACGAUCAGACAUAUAUAUGUAAUGGAAUAACAUUUACCACCAUCCCCCGUGCCGCACCCCACCUCUCCAAUGCCCGCGAAGCGUCCUGCGAUCACCUCGGCAUUUCGUGGAACAGGGCGCGAGCGCUAGGGAGAGGGCGCGGGGGCCUGCGAGCUCCUCCGAUCGAGAUCGGGAAGAGGUCGGACAGAGAUAAGAGGCGGGAUCAGGGAGAGAGAGAUCUCCAGGAGCUGCAGAUCUAGAAUGGGGCGGUGCGCGAGGGGCGCGAGCGGGCGCCGGGCGAGGGUUGCACGCACAUGGCAGCGUGGGCGGGCCCGCCCGCACCGCGGAUCUGCAGGACCUCCGCGCCCUGUGGGGCAACAGGGAAAGGAGGCGGGGAUAGGGGCGCGGGAGGCAUAGUGCGACAACUGUCCGCAACUUGGGGGCUUUGCGGGUCCAGAGGGGACAUGAAUCGGGGGAGAGAAAGAGGGAAUCGAAGGCGCGUGAGAGAGAACGGAAGAGACGGGGCGGACGACACGUCGGCCACAGAUUGCCAGGUGCGCCCGACCCGCACCUGACCCGCGCUCGUGCCAGCCGCUGCCGCCCGCCCGCUGCGCCCGCCCGCGCUGGGAAACCACCGAAGCCCCCUGCAAAACGCGGGGAGGCUUCAAAGGGGCGCGAGAGAGGAGGGGCGCUGAGGAGGCGACACGUAGGGCACAGGAGAACUCAAGAAUUAUUAUUUCUAUAUAUAUAUAUAUAUAUAUAUAUAUAUAUAUAUGUAUGUAGAGCUACUAUGCUAUUGGAAGUAUAGAGAAUCUGAUACUUCCAUCUUUUUGACCAUUGGAUCAAAAAUUAUACGGUUGAGAUGAUUGCGGUCCCCCCAGGGUUAGAGUAGUAUCCCUAAGGUUGAGUGGUCCCCACAGGGUAAUAGUAUUAAUACAAAUGUUAGAAAUGAUUAAAGGGGUUGAUGCAAGAGCCAAAAAAUCGGAAGCACCAGAUCUUCUAUGCUUCCAAUAGCAUAGUAGCUCUACUCUUUCUCUCUCUAUAUAUAUAUAGAAUAUAGAACUAGGCUGGAAUACUAUCACUACACCAAGCUAUUGGUGCUAUUAAUUUUUUAACCCUUGGAUUGAGAAAUAUGUGCUUAGGAUGAUGUGGGCCCCCUAGGGUUGAGUGAGUGGUUGGUUGAAUAGUAUAAUCUAACGGUUAAAAAUAAUCAAAGGGCUAAAUCUAAUGGUGAAAAACUCGAUAGCACCAAAUCCUUGGUGCUAUCGAUAGUAUCCCAGCCGGACUUUCUCUCUCUCUCUCUCUCUCUAUAUAUAUAUAUAUAUAUAGUUGAGCUAGAAUACUAUCGUUAGCAAAUAGGCUCCGUUGCUACCCAUUUGUUUUCGAUAAUGAAGCAUCCAAAUCGACGAUCGGCACAGUUGAACAUGAUCUAUACCGCUUAAAAUAUCUAGAAAUCAAAUUCCAAAUCUUUUCGACAUCAUUGACCUAAUAAUCAAAAGGUCCCAAAAUUUAUAAUUUUAAUGGUCGAUAUGAGGCGUUUUAAUGUUUAAUGGUGUAAAGAUAUUCAAAUCAAUUGAAUUUUGGUCAGAAGAUGCUACUUUUAAGGGAACUGUUGACUUGCUAGAAUUCGACUGCGGAUAUUGAAUGCCUUCUGUUAUUAUUCUUGGAACUUCUAAUCUUUGUAAUAAGUGUACCAAUAAUUUUUCUAUAUUAUUUUCCUUUCUUUUCUUUUCUUUAUUUUUAUUUUCUUCUUGCCUUUUGUAUCAAUUGGCUGUUGUGAAGAGGAUGGAGUCGCAGUUCCUUUGUUCUGUCCUUGUCUUUGUUGCCCUGUCUGUAACGCGGCUAAUAUAUCUGCUGGUAAUAGUGUUGCAAUGUGUUCUUGAACUGUCUCAUCCUGCUUGAUGAAAGGUGUCUUUGGCUGUUGGUGGCUGUAUGAUCCUUCUUCUAUCUGUCUUGUUUGGAUAGGCUCUUGAAUAGGUUUUUGUUUGAUAUCAGGUCGGAUUAUUUGUGAGGGUAAUAAUGGUGGGUAAGCUAGAGGUAUUAUUUGUGUUGUAGUAGGUUGUAUUUGUGGUGGAGGUAAAUAGGGUAGUGGUUGUGGUGGAGGUAAUUGUUGAGGUACUGUUGGUUUAUUAUGUAAUGUCAAAGCAGCUAAUUGGGUUUUUAAGGCUUUAAUUUGGUUUUGUAGCUUUUGUUUUUCUAUCUCAAGACCAAGACAUUGGAUCUGGCGCCGGCAUAUCAGAUGAUAGUGUUAUGAUGCAUAAUUUAGAUACUAUAGGGUAAAAAAAAAAAUCCAUGCUGUCAAAAAAAGGCAAAAUUGGGAUCCCUGCUGUGAGAAAACCCUUGUGGCUCACAGACAAAAAUUAGGGGAAAUUAUUAAACUAAAAACUAAAAACCAUUUCUCAAAGUACAUUCUCCAAAUUUCUCCAAGGAAAACGACAAAAGCACUAGUACUUUCUAGAAAGCAUCUACAGGACAACAUCUGCUUUUGCAAAAGAAAGAGCAUAUUCCACAAGACAUCUACUUUAAAAAAGAAGACAAUACAGAAAUGACAACUCAGAAGGCUCUCCUUUACACCUAGCAUCUCAGAGGCCUUUUUACAACCAGCAACUUCUCAGCACUUCCAAACCCUUCCUUCCACCACUAUAAAUAGAAAGCUUCUCCACCAACACAAGGCAUAUAGAGAAAUCGAGAGUGAGAACAAGAGAGCCCUUAAGAGCAAUAGUUUAUGGCUUUUUUUGUUUCUUUCCUUUCUCUGUAAAUUUUCCUAUAUCUUCUUAGUGUACAAAGUUUGAGAGUCUUGUAAACAAGUUCCUCCUCCUUUCGGGCCUUCUCGAAAGGGAAACCUUCUUGUAUCUAUAAUCAUGUAAGUCUUUACAUUUCUUGUUUAAUAUAAUUCUUGUUGUUCUUCUAUCUAUUAUAUUUUCCUUGCAUCAUGUAGGCCUAUUAUCUUGAACCGACCCUAGGUUAUGCUAGGAUUUCUCUUUGAAUGAAUACUUCAUCUUGAUCAGCUAUAAGACAUAUACGUUUGGUAGAUUUCGUAAGAGCUUGAAUAUCUAUUUAGGUCAUCAUGCCAACACUAAGGCGCUCGACUGUUAGACGAUCUGAAAGCUCUGAAAACCGUAUGCUAGGAGGGUCUUGUGCAUCAUCAGUCUGGCUCAAGUGGUAUUCAUCUAACCCAAAGUCCAUUAGUAUAGCCAACCCUAGGAGCAAGCUUUUAGGUCACUUGUAGAAGAUGGACCAAACAGUUAGUUGGUUUUACAUAACAAGUCAUGCUACCAGUUACCAAACAUUAGCAUAUAGAUUUCCAUAAAGGAAAAUGUCGAGCAAGAAUAAGUCGAAUCUCUUUCUUUUGUUCCAUUGCCAAACAAAAAGCCAAAGCCUAGCUUAUUCCUUUUAUUAAGCUUCCGGUGCUUUCUUGUAGGACACUGGAUACUGUUUCCAAGAUAAUCAAUAGAGUUGCAACUUGCAACCAAGGUUUAAAGUGUCGUGGCAUGUGGGCAUGCCGUUAUGUCCCUGGCAUGGUACGGCACACCGACACGUGGCACGCUUGCGUGCCGAUAGAUACGCAUGACCUCCUAUUGGCACGCUUUGGCACGUACUUAUUUCAGUUUUUUGGUUCUAAUAAACUCUCAUAAUGUUAUUUUGAAAAAUUUAAAUAAAUAAUUAUGAAUAUUUACUAUGUAUACCUUACUAUACUCAUCAAUUAACAUGCAUGUAAACUUUUUGUAAGUAAAGUACAACUAUACCUGAUGUAGAAUAGAAAUUAAAAUACAAUAAUAAAAUUCACGAGUACAAUAAUUAUUUAAAUUUACAUCUUUAUAUAGAGAUGACUGCUUAAUUCCACAUAGAUCGUCCAGCUUGAUCAUAUGACAUAUUGUCAUUUACAGAUACAAGAUUUAUUUGACAAUGUUGAUAUAAGUAUUGCUGGUAUUAUGAGAAAGUCAUAUAUUCCCGAUAUUACAUCCAUAUUUUUUGUUCUUUUUUUUAAAAAAAAAAAUAUCCGAUCAAAAUUUGUUUAGGAGAUUGAUUUUUGUUCCCCUGAUUCACCGAAAGCUUUGCGGUGUGACAAAUUUUGACAAAAUAUUUUGCGAAAAAAAAUGGAUGUCUGUGGUGGAAGUGGAGGGCUCAUGCCGCGAGACAGAGGAGGGGUCCGAGACCCCCCGUACCGUGGCCCCUUCUUGGGGGCAUGGUACGACAUGCCCCUGUGCCGUACAGCACGGGCGGCACUUAAUUCCUUGUUUGUACCAGGAAAAAUAUAAUGAGAUAAAGAAUUAUAAGAAAUAAUUAAAUUAAAAUUCAAAGACAUAUUUCUAUAGAUAUCAUAGAAGGGAGUACCAAGUAGAGAUAUUACAACCUGUUUUUCCUUACCCCUUAUAUCUUUUUCCUUUUAUAGCGUUUCCUUUCUCUUUAUCUUUUCCGUAUAUUUCCUACUUUCCCUAAUCUUUAAAAUCCAUAAAAAAAAGUGUCUAUAUUAUUCAUAAAACUCUUUUUUCUUUAUAUGUUACCCCAAUACCCCCUCUCUCUCUUGUUUAUAAACUGUAUAUAUAUUUCUCCUUCAACCUACACCCUUUGUCUCUUAUUUUCUGUGUUUUCUUCUCUUUUAAACUCUUCUCUUUCUAUUUCUGUCUCUUUUUUCCCUCCUCUCUAACAUAUAUAUAAAAAAAGGAACCCCUCAAAUCUGCUCGCCACUC